GCUGUAUGUGCUCGCUCCUAACAAUGUUCAUCCCAAACACCUGUGCACAUUUAGAGAGGGACUCGGAGUUGUGCUUGGGGUCCCUUGGUCUGAUACACACACAUUAGUUAAAUAUUGAACGUGAGAGGGCUUAAUAUUAAUACAACUUUUAACAACGGAUCUCUUGGCUCUCGCAUCGAUGAAGAACGCAGCGAAAUGCGAUAAGUAAUGUGAAUUGCAGAAUUCAGUGAAUCAUCGAAUUUUUGAACGCACCUUGCGCUCCCUGGUAUUCCGGGGAGCACGCCUGUUCGAGUGUCGUGAAAUUGUCAAACCGGGAUGCUUUUUAGUUUCUCGGGUUGGUUGUUGGGCUUUGCAGUUCCUUUGAUUGGGAUGGCUGGCCUGAAAAGCAUUAGCUGGCUUUUAAUGUGGGAUUGGUUCUACUCAGCGUGAUAAUGAUUUGACCGCGGAGGACAUCUGACGAGAUGACCAAUUCUGAUUAGGGCUGCUUCUAAUUUUGGUCGAGCGGAUUGUGAAUCUGGUUGACUUUUGGGCUUUUGACCUCGAAUCAGGUGGGACUACCCGCUGAACUUAAGCAUAUCAAUAAGCGGAGGAAAAGAAACUAACAAGGAUUCCCCUAGUAA
rnacentral:rRNA from 1 species